rnacentral:rRNA from 1 species
CCUCAGUAACGGCGAGUGAAGCGGUAACAGCUCAAAUUUGAAAUCUGGCCUCACGGUCCGAGUUGUAAUUUGUAGAGGAUGCUUCGAGCAUGGUCUGGCCUAAGUUCCUUGGAACAGGACGUCAUAGAGGGUGAGAAUCCCGUAUGCGGCCAGGUGCCUACGCUCAUGUGAAGCUCCUUCGACGAGUCGAGUUGUUUGGGAAUGCAGCUCAAAAUGGGUGGUAAAUUUCAUCUAAAGCUAAAUAUUGGCCAGAGACCGAUAGCGCACAAGUAGAGUGAUCGAAAGAUGAAAAGCACUUUGGAAAGAGAGUUAAACAGUACGUGAAAUUGUUGAAAGGGAAGCGCUUGCAACCAGACUUGCGCGCGGCCGAUCAUCCGGUGUUCUCACCGGUGCACUCGGCCGUGCUCAGGCCAGCAUCGGUUUUGGCGGCUGGAUAAAGGCCCUAGGAAUGUAGCUCCUCUCGGGGAGUGUUAUAGCCUAGGGUGCAAUGCAGCCUGCUGGGACCGAGGACCGCGCUUCGGCUAGGAUGCUGGCGUAAUGGUUGUAAGCGGCCCGUCUUGAAACACGGACCAAGGAGUCUAACAUCUAUGCGAGUGUUUGGGUGUCAAACCCAUACGCGUAAUGAAAGUGAACGGAGGUGAGAACCCUUAAGGGUGCAUCAUCGACCGAUCCUGAUGUCUUCGGAAGGAUUUGAGUAAGAGCAUAGCUGUUGGGACCCGAAAGAUGGUGAACUAUGCCUGAAUAGGGUGAAGCCAGAGGAAACUCUGGUGGAGGCUCGCAGCGGUUCUGACGUGCAAAUCGAUCGUCAAAUUUGGGUAUAGGGGCGAAAGACUAAUCGAACCAUUGACCUGUAGGAACACUACUAGGUGGUUAAGAGGCGGCUAAAAGUGCCGUCUAGUCCCGACGCCGGGGCGACACUGUCAAAUUGCGGGAACAUCCUUAGAGCCUAGACUACCGCAGCCUUUCCGAAAGGGGGGUGCGCACCAGGGUAACGACCUCGGGUAUGGUAAUAACGUCUAGGAUUGGACAAUCCGCAGCCAAGCCCUACGGACCUCGGUCUAUGGGUGCAGUUCAUCGACUAGAUGGCAGUGGGUGGCAGCAAUGCCGCUUAAGAUAUAGUCAGACCCCCGGGAGACCGGGCGGCAGAACGAAGACCGUGGGGGGCGUCCUCUCUGAGAGCCCCGCGGUCCCGAGUCUGCUGGUGGCGUUGCAG